rnacentral:rRNA from 1 species
UGGGGAAUAUUGGACAAUGGGCGGAAGCCUGAUCCAGCAACGCCGCGUGAGGGAUGACGGCCUUCGGGUUGUAAACCUCUUUCAGCACAGACGAAGCGCAAGUGACGGUAUGUGCAGAAGAAGGACCGGCCAACUACGUGCCAGCAGCCGCGGUAAUACGUAGGGUCCGAGCGUUGUCCGGAAUUAUUGGGCGUAAAGGGCUCGUAGGCGGUUUGUCGCGUCGGGAGUGAAAACACCGGGCUUAACUCGGUGCUUGCUUUCGAUACGGGCAGACUAGAGGCAUUCAGGGGAGAACGGAAUUCCUGGUGUAGCGGUGAAAUGCGCAGAUAUCAGGAGGAACACCGGUGGCGAAGGCGGUUCUCUGGGAAUGUCCUGACGCUGAGGAGCGAAAGUGUGGGGAGCGAACAGGAUUAGAUACCCUGGUAGUCCACACCGUGAACGUUGGGCGCUAGGUGUGGGAUCCAUUCCACGGGUUCCGCGCCGCAGCUAACGCAUUAAGCGCCCCGCCUGGGGAGUACGGCCGCAAGGCUAAAACGUCAAAUGAAUUGACGGGGUCAUAGCUGUUUCCU